rnacentral:rRNA from 1 species
GAAAUCAGUUCAGCACUAAGUCACUUUGUCUAUAUGGCAAAUGUGAGAUGCAGUGUAUGGAACAUCAAUAUUCUAGUAUGAGAAAUUAACGAUUUAAGUCCUUCUUAAAUGAGGCCAUUUACCCAUAGAGGGUGCCAGGCCCGUAUAACGUUAAUGAUUAUUAGAUGGUGUUUCCAAAGAGUCGUGUUGCUUGAUAGUGCAGCACUAAGUGGGUGGUAAACUCCAUCUAAAACUAAAUAUAACCAUGAGACCGAUAGUAAACAAGUACCGUGAGGGAAAGUUGAAAAGAACUCUGAAUAGAGAGUUAAAUAGUACGUGAAACUGCUUAGAGGUUAAGCCCGAUGAACCUGAAUAUCCGUUAUGGAAAAUUCAUCAUUAGAGUUGUAAUAUUUAAACAAUAUUAUAAUAAUAGUGUGCAUUUUUUCCAUAUAAGGACAUUGUAAUCUAUUAGUAUCAAUAAUUUAUCAAAAAAUUUAAGAAAAUAGUUUAUUUCAAUUAAAAUGCUUGCGUUUUAACACAAAAUAAAUUUCAUAAAUUUGAUAAAGUGCUGAUAGAUUUAUAUGAAUACAGUGCGUUAAUUUUUCGGAAUUAUAUAAUGGCAUGAUUAUCAUUGAUUUUUAUGUUUAUUAUAUGCACUUGUAUGAUUAACAAUGCGAAAGA